GACGAACGCUGGCGGCGUGCCUAAUACAUGCAAGUAGGACGCAGUUGCGAACGGGUGAGUAACGCGUAGGUAACUACCUAUUAGAGGGGGAUAACUAUUGGAAACGAUAGCUAAUACCGCAUACUAGUAGAUGGACCUGCGUUGUAUUAGCUAGUAGGUAGGGUAAUGGCCUACCUAGGAAACGAUACAUAGCCGACCUGGGAGGGUGAACGGCCACACUGGGACUGGGAAAAGGCCCAAGAUCCUACGGGAGGCAGCAGUAGGGAAUCUGCGGCAAUGGGGGGAAACCUGACCGAGGAACGCCGCGGGAGAGAAGAAGGUUUUCGGGGCGUAAAGCUCUGUUGUUAAGGAAGCGGUACUUAACCAGAAAGGGACGGCUAACUACGUGCCAGCAGCCGCGGUAAUUC
rnacentral:rRNA from 1 species